AGGUGAGGAAUGCCAUAAAGAGGAUCAAAGAGAAGAGGAAAGCCUUGUCUUUCACGAACUGUUCCCAGCCAAUCAGCUUUCUGCCGUCCCAGAGGGGUCCAGCCCAGACGUGGACCCAGAGUCUGCCACCUCCCUCCAGCCCAGAGACCAGCGACAUCUCAGGCCCCGGCAGCACCACCUCCACCUCACUGGUCAUCAAGAGCGAGAGUUUUGGAAAAGAAAGUAGUUUCUCCUUGAAACCUGCAUCAGGAAACCAGGUGGUUCAACUGACUGCUUUCAAGCCCUCAGGCUGCUGAUGGAAUGUUUGGAAUUGGACACAAAGGCACAUUUAUCAUAUAACCUGGUGGGAAGAAAGCGGAAUUGCACAGUGGAUACGACAAACAGAUACACACAAUAGAUGCAUCCUCUCUCAUACAAAUAUUGUAGAUGGUGUAAAUAGACACACACUCAAAAACUGCACAUAUAGAAUACACACACACACACACACACACACACACACACACACACACACACACACACACACACACACACACACACACACACACACACACACACACACACACACACACACACACACACACACACACACACACACACACACACACACACACACACACACACACAGAGCGUGUGAAGCAGGAAGUGUUUUUUUAGGGCGACAGCUCCUCCUCCACCACAGUGUCCCAUUCCCAGGGUCAGGAACCAUCUGCUGUUUAGGAAAUCGCUGUUCCAGAGAGGCAACACAACAUUUGUCGUGUGCAUACAGACUUGAGUUUCAUUCUCUUUUGCUGAGUGGCUUAUCACACCUUCAGUCUUUUUUUUACAGUCAUCUUUUUGUGUAUGUGUCAUUUUGGUUUUUACAGACAUAACUAGACAGUAGACGUUACUGUUUUUACAGACAUAACUAGACAGUAGACGUUACUGUUUUUACAGACAUAACUAGACAGUAGACGUUACUGUUUUUACAGACAUAACUAGACAGUAGACGUUACUGUUUUUACAGACAUAACUAGACAGGAGACGUUACUGUUUUUACAGACAUAACUAGACAGUAGACGUUACUGUUUUUACAGACAUAACUAGACAGGAGACGUUACUGUUUUUACAGACAUAACUAGACAGUAGACGUUACUGUUUUUACAGACAUAACUAGACAGUAGACGUUACUGUUUUUACAGACAUAACUAGACAGUAGACGUUACUGUUUUUACAGACAUAACUAGACAGGAGACGUUACUGUUUUUAACAGACAUAACUAGACAGUAGACGUUACUGUUUUUACAGACAUAACUAGACAGGAGACGUUACUGUUUUUAACAGACAUAACUAGACAGUAGACAUGACUGUUUUAACAGACAUAACUAGACAGUAGACAUGACUGUUUUAACAGACAUAACUAGACAGUAGACGUGACUGUUUUUACAGACAUAACUAGACAGUAGACAUGACUGUUUUAACAGACAUAACUAGACAGGAGACGUUACUGUUUUUACAGACAUAACUAGACAGUAGACAUGACUGUUUUAACAGACAUAACUAGACAGGAGACGUUACUGUUUUUACAGACAUAACUAGACAGGAGACGUUACUGUUUUUACAGACAUAACUAGACAGGAGACGUUACUGUUUUUACAGACAUAACUAGACAGUAGACAUGACUGUUUUUACAGACAUAACUAGACAGUAGACAUGACUGUUUUUACAGACAUAACUAAACAGUAGACAUGACUGUUUUUACAGACAUAACUAGACAGUAGACAUGACUGUUUUUACAGACAUAACUAAACAGUAGACAUGACUGUUUUAACAGACAUAACUAAACAGUAGACAUGACUGUUUUUACAGACAUAACUAAACAGUAGACAUGACUGUUUUUACAGACAUAACUAGACAGUAGAUGUUACUGUUUUUACAGACAUAACUAGACAGUAGACGUGACUGUUUUUACAGACAUAACUAGACAGUAGACAUGACUGUUUUUACAGACAUAACUAAACAGUAGACAUGACUGUUUUUACAGACAUAACUAGACAGUAGACAUGAUUGUUUUUACAGACAUAACUAGACAGUAGACAUGACUGUUUUUACAGACAUAACUAGACAGUAGACGUGACUGUUUUUACAGACAUAACUAGACAGUAGAUGUUACUGUUUUUACAGACAUAACUAGACAGUAGACAUGACUGUUUUUACAGACAUAACUAGACAGGAGACGUUACUGUUUUUACAGACAUAACUAGACAGUAGACAUGACUGUUUUUACAGACAUAACUAAACAGUAGACGUUACUGUUUUUACAGACAUAACUAGACAGUAGACGUUACUGUUAUUACAGACAUAACUAAACAGUAGACGUUACUGUUUUUACAGACAUAACUAAACAGUAGACAUCACUGUAAACACUGGAAACUUUGAAUCAAGGAUUAAAGGCCUAUACUACUGUAAGAUAUUAUAUGACCAGACAACAAGAUUGUGUUGUCAGUGUGAGAACGUGGAUAGUAGGAUGACAGAUCCUCUCAUAGAUCAACAGCAUUAUAUAGUAGAGAUAUGCUGCUAACUCACUGUGCACUGUCUGGGCAGCUCAUAAAGAGACUUUAAGAAGCCUAUCACCUGUUGUACAGUACUGUAUCACCAACCAACCACUAUGUGUAUUGGAGGCUGUGCUAGCUGCAGCUUGGCUAUCUCCCCAAGCCUUUCCUCCCUCCCCUGCCCUGGCCUAUCAUGCCUUACAACAAGCAACAGAAAUCCUGGCCUCUCCCUAUCUCCACUGCAGGAAGGUGCACUCUGAACCGAGACACAUUAUUCAGUACAGCUCAAAUGAUCGCAUGAAACUCUUUAUUGUCCCAAUAGAAGAAUAUGCUGGGCAAAUAUAAUGUACAUUAUUGUUUGAUAUAAUUGUAUUUCUAUACAUAUAUUGUUAUGAGAUGGGGGAAGGUUAUUGUUAGGACAUAGACAAACACACUACCACACACUUCCACACCUCAUCCCCAGGGGGCAGCAACAACCUGGUUCAAAUGCUUAGCCAGGAAGUCUUGUGUUGAUUGGGCACAGGUGCAAGGAAAUGAGAUUGAGACAGCUAUUAGAGCCGUUAGGCUGAUGUUUUUUCUUGGUAACCAUGUAAGCCCUUGGUUUUGUUUAAAAUCUUUUGCUUGGGAAUGUUUUUAGUUUUUUGCAUAUAUUUAUUUUUGUCACCUGAACAAUCAAAAAUCUGCUUGGACUGGCUAACCAAGAGGUCAUGGAGGAGCUGGCCCUAGACUAAAGGUAAGGUUGCUGUCUUCUGGGUACAUGUACAUACAACACAAUCCUUAUACUCUGAUUUCUCACAUAGGUGCACAUCUUAAAUCAGGUUAUAGACCAUGUAACUAGGACUAAGACCCCUAGACUUAGAGAGUGCAACAGUAUUAGCAGGCUAGUCAAUCGAUUUUGUAACAAUACAUUGUAAGAUUUGUAUGAAAAUGAUAGCUUUUCCAAAGCCCUUAUACUUCGUUCCUUCAAUGUAUUGUUUAAUUACUGUUAAUGGCCUCCAAUAUUUGCACUCAUUGUAGCCAUUGGCUGAAAUGUACAUUUACAUAUGUAUUUGUGAAGUAGCACUGACUUGUCAGCCCAAAACCAUAGACUUUCACAUUAAUAUGAAUUGCUUUGUCAUGACUCAUAAAUUGCUACCACUAUCCUGGAUAGCCUCCAGGAUAUUUGAAAAUAAUGUAUUAUGUAUAUAUGACCCCCAUGGUCAUUGAACAACAGUGGGAUGGUUCAAAAGAAAUGGACAGAACAUAGGUAGCGCUUUACUUAAUUGCAUUUAUUGAUUUGAUGCUAUUACAAUAAAAUAUAUUUAAAGAAAAGUAUGUUUUUGAUUGUUUCUGUUUGAAAAAGCAUUCAUAUUGCUGACAGAGGUAACCAAGUGGACCAUCACAGACAGUUUGAGAAUGAGAUCUUAAACAGACCUCAUCACUUCACCAAAACAUCCAAGACUGGGACUGCACAGAAUAAGGUGAAACUCAACAGAAGCAAAAGCAACAUAUAGAGAACCAAUUACACAAUGAGCAUCUUCAACCUUAAGAAAUAGCAAAGUAUGUGUGGUGAAACAUCUGAGCUCGAUGUAUUCCUCACUGUGGCAUUUCUUUUCCUGCUUCACAAUAUAAAUGCGCUGUACAAAGAGGUACAGAUGACAGUCAUUUCAGUUAGGAAAAGGUCAAUAUAUUCAGACAGACAGGCCAGGGUUAUCUUAAGGCAGGUGUUCUGAUUGUCUCCAAGAAGUUAAAAGAGUCAACCCUGCCAUGUCUGUACAAUUCUAACAUGUUGCUUCAUGUGUGCUAUGUGCUGAAAUUACGCAAACGGAUAUGUGGGUGUUACAUGUUA